AACCACAACCCACGACCCUCCUUUCGUCUCUCUGACUCUCGCACACGACCUAUCCUCGCCAACCCUAGGUGUGCCGCCGCCAUGUCUUCAUCUCGCAGCCCCUCAACCGCCCCGUGGGAGCGGCGUCUCUGUCUACGCCUACUCGCUGCUAUCCUCUUUCUCUGGUAUUCCCUAAAGGUGAAGCAGGGAGCAUCUUUUUCUUGAGUCGGCGAUGAGCUCCAUCCCCACAUCAGUGGCGCACUACAUCCCUGAAGCAUGUGUCCGAGUUUUCAAGCCAUAUCUGGAGUUCUCGGGCGUGUCGUCGCCAGAUCCACCAUGUCGAGCAACCAGCCGGAGAUCCUUUGUACUAGAUGUCAACAGAAGGUGGUCAGUAUAUUAGAGACUUCAAGAAAUUUGAAUCGAAUCUCACAACCUCAUAUCUCUCUUUGUCUCUCUCAGUUGGUUAACAAGUUGCCCUGGUAUUGAUGUUUAUUAAGUUUCUCCCAAUUUUUUUCUUUUGUUUCUCUACAUGUUAGGCCAACGAAGGUUUACAAGUAGGUACAAAUCUUCAUGGUAGGCAAAGAAUAAAUUUAAGUGGUACUUAGUUAAUUAAAUACCAAGUCCGGAGGGUUGAAACAGAUUCAGAGCACUGAGUUAUGGUGGAGCUGAUGUGUUCUUUCUAUACGUAUUCGCUGGGAGAUGAUCACUUAAUCUUUAAAAUUUGACGGUGCCCACUGGGAGUUCAUGCAGAUUUGCUUCCUCAUGUGUAGUUAUAAGUUAUCUGUUCACAAACCUUCAGCUGCUGUAGUUGAUGCUUGGUUAUUGCAGUACAUAUGUUAACUCUAAACUGGACAAUUGAUUCAAGAAAACUACUUUUUGUUUGACUGUAUCUUCAGCAAGGGUACUCUUAUUGCAUGACGCUAUACUGAACCACUGGUUUGUUGCUCGAGCUGUACUAUAGACUCUUAAUUGUGAAUUUUUGAAGCAAAUUUCAAGUCUGCUACUUAUGGGAAAUUUAGAUAAUCGUAGGCUUUUCAGAAGCUUCCGACCCUAGAAAGAAGGCUCUUAAGAAGCUGCACUACAUGAAUAUGCGGAUAUUACAUGUAUGCUUUUCUUUCUUUAAAUUUUCGAUGCUUAUGAAUCAUCCAUGUAAGUAGUUAGCAUGUAUGGAAGAUAAUCUAUGUUCUGAUCCGUCGAGAGGUGCCUUUUCACUUCCAUUUCAUUUCGGCUUCACCUCCAAAAUAUUUCAUUGCUUCUUGCACAUCUUGGCUACUUGAUUUAUGUAACUUUUUGCAUUUUCAUUUCAUAUUUUCAUGUAAGAUGUGUGCUACAUUAAGUUCUUUAUUUUUUGGCUUCAUUACAUUGUAAUCUCAUGUUUUUUGGCCAUUAAAAUAGUAGCCACCUUUUACAAUGGAACUAGACACUCUUUGCUCAUUUUACAAAUGAUUUUACCUGAUAUAAUGUAGUACACAUUUUUGCACGAACUAUUGUAAGACAUACUAGAAGAAUAUUUAGAUACAUUAAAACUGAGCACCUUUCCAACCCUCUCAGGCUAUUAGCACUUUCAGCCUUUGGAUCAUCAGUUUUGGGCGUUUUCGGCCGUCAGAUUUACUCUUAAUCCCGCCUGGAAUCAUUGUGUUUGCUAAAACCGAGUGUUUCCUUGUUGGGCCGCUGCUCUGGUGACUAUUUUGGACGCCUGGUGUGAAAUUGGACCUGAUGGGCUUCUACGAGUCUCCUUUCGUGCAACCACACCCCACGACGCUCCUUUCGUAAGUCAAUGUUGAGAAAGGCAUGAUGUUGUCCGUUGUGUAUUCUAAAUGGGUUGCUGUGGUGGAUGGAGUAGCACGACAUCGAUUUCUUUGCUUGCCAAAGAAAAAAAGAAUUGCACAUUUUCAAAACUUGAGACAUGGAGCUUGCGGAAGACUUCUCAAUUUGUAUUCAACCCAUGACACAGUAUGAGCAUGGCCAUUUUAACAAUAAUUAUUUCUCUUAAAUAUACUCCUUUGUUGGUUUGUAGUUAUAAUGUGGAGGGUAUUUUCCUCUGAUGCAACUAUACAUUGUUAACACAUGUAUAUCAUGUGCCAAUUGUGAUUAUUUAUCCAUUUAUUUAUUUAC